rnacentral:rRNA from 1 species
CAGAGAUGUGCCUUUCCUUCGGGACAGAGGAGACAGGUGGUGCAUGGUUGUCGUCAGCUCGUGUCGUGAGAUGUUGGGUUAAGUCCCGCAACGAGCGCAACCCUUGAAUUUAGUUGCCAGCGAGUAAAGUCGGGCACUCUAGAUUGACUGCCGGUGACAAACCGGAGGAAGGCGGGGAUGACGUCAAAUCAUCAUGCCCCUUAUGACCUGGGCUACACACGUACUACAAUGGCCGGUACAACGGGCUGUGAAGGAGCGAUCUGGAACGAAUCCUUUAAAGCCGGUCUCAGUUCGGAUUGCAGGCUGCAACUCGCCUGCAUGAAGUCGGAAUUGCUAGUAAUCGCGGAUCAGCAUGCCGCGGUGAAUACGUUCCCGGGUCUUGUACACACCGCCCGUCACACCACGAGAGUUUACAACACCCGAAGCCGGUGGGGUAACCGCAAGGAGCCAGCCGUCGAAGGUGGGGUAGAUGAUUGGGGUGAAGUCGUAACAAGGUAGCCGUAUCGGAAGGUGCGGCUGGAUCACCUCCUUUCUAAGGAG